rnacentral:rRNA from 1 species
UACGUAGGUGGCAAGCGUUAUCCGGAAUUAUUGGGCGUAAAGAGCGCGCAGGUGGUUGAUUAAGUCUGAUGUGAAAGCCCACGGCUUAACCGUGGAGGGUCAUUGGAAACUGGUCGACUUGAGUGCAGAAGAGGGAAGUGGAAUUCCAUGUGUAGCGGUGAAAUGCGUAGAGAUAUGGAGGAACACCAGUGGCGAAGGCGGCUAUCUGGACAGUAACUGACGCUGAGGCGCGAAAGCGUGGGGAGCAAACAGGAUUAGAUA